GGCCUUGCCUCUCCACCUCUUUAUACUGACUAAUGGCUAUGGAUGGAUCAAGCCUCUUCGCCGUCUCCCUUUCUACUUCAUAUUCCUGGUGUUAUGGAAGCUGGUGGUAUGGAGGAGCAUCAGAAUCAACAACGCAGACGGUGACUCCAAAACAUGCAAAACAUCAUCGUUUCUCGCUCGCAUUCAAGGUCUGCAUGUGGAGCUUCAGACGGUCUUUGCUUCUCCUCCGCUCCUUGAAAUACCGGGCUUCAGGAAAAACUCAUCAUACCCAUCAUCAGCAACAUCAACAAGAGGAACGUCGGCAUCAGUCAGGCUAAAGG